UUUCUCUUUCUUUACUACCCUACCCCCCACAUUCACAAAAGAAACACCUCUCUCUCUCUCUCUCCUCUCUCUCUCUCACUCUCUCUCUAUCUCUCUCAAGUGUCAUUUUCUCACAUAUACUUCACACAAAAAAACACCAUUCACUUCACAUACCUUGUCAUUUCUUCCUUAUUUCUCUCUCCCUCUCUCUCUCCCUAUCUCUCUCUAAAAUUUUCUUUCAAUCUUAAAUCUCAUCACCUCUGCAACUACUCCAUCAACUUGAUUGAAUGCUUGAAACUCUAUCACUCACACAAAAUCACACACCUUCAGAAUAUCCAAUCAAUUAUUAAUUACACCCCCAUCUUGCAGUCUCAAACCUAG